GUAUAAUAUAGCACAGUGGAAGGGCGCACGCUUUGCCUAAAGCUUAAGCUGUGAGGUCGUGCGUGAGGUCGAGAGUUCAAUCCUUUCAAUGUCCA